CACUAUGCUUUACGUUAUGCGUACAUAUGUCGUGUACCAUAAAUACAGGGAAGUAGGUAGGAAAUAACAAUCACUAUUCCAGGUUAUAUUGAAAUAAUUUUAUAAAAACUAUUUUAGUGUUUGCCAUUGCUAAGCAAAAGGUGUGCUUUAAUUUAGGCAGCAAACAUGCUUCUAAAACAUUUAAACAAGAAUCAUAUUCUGAAACAAACAUCUCUAUUGUUCAAAGGGUUGCUGCCUCCCCUAAGGGAACUAAAGUUAAACAAACAGAAAACUGGAUGUUUUUGAUGUAUAUCAACAUUACCCCAGGGACAAAAAUCCCAGGCAUUGGUGACCCAUUCAUUUUUUCUAUUCUUCAAUCCUCUUCCUCCCAUUUCUGGAAAAUAUUUCUUUCUACACUCUUGAAUUUGUUUUUGUUUUUUUUUUUUUAAUUUGUGUACCGACUUGGAAUUCCACCACAUAGACACAUGCUCAAAUGAAUUUAAGUAUUAUUUUGAAAGUAAAAUACUCAUUGAAAGGAUGACAGUAUUCGAAAUUAUUCCUUACUGCAAAUUAGCUGAUUCAAAUAGUUGUUCUUGACGCAUGGCUGGGACUGUCUGCACUGAGAGAACAGGGUUUGGAGUGAAGAAAGGAAUCAUUCAUGAGCACCAUCAUGGUGCGGCAAAAGCUGGGCAGGUUCCACAGAGAAGGCCAUGGAUGGGACCUGGCUAAAGGGUGAGGUGCAAGGAGUAGAAGUACAGAUGAAAAAUUAGCAACUAGCAGAGAUUGUAACUGUCUGGGGCCAUGAGUGUAAGUGAACUGACUUUUCUCUUUCCUCUCUCUGCAGCACCAGUCUCCUGCUCUGGGCACCCCAAAUUCAGGCCAGUGUAAUUGCUACCAUUUUUCAGCCACAGUGGAGCUUAAUAGGCCUUUGUGGGAUAAUCUGAGUUCUAACUACUGUUUAUUUGAUAAAAAUAUAGGCUGAACCCCAAACCACCAAUUUACAGACUUUAGUCAUGGGUAUCAACAGAGGAAUGACUUGCGGAAUCUUUGCCUUGAAUGACAUGCAGGAACUUUCCGUCUUCCAUCCAGAUUGACAUCCUGAUGCAAGGUGUCUCUUUUCUUCAAACCUCAGAUGUUCUCUACACAGGUAUAGACAGUAGAAAUAUUUAUUAAAUAAAUUCUGUGAUGAAAAAUGCUAUUCCUCUCAUUUGAAUACUACCUCCUCAAGGUAGCUGUGUGAAAGACAAAACUGAUUAUUUUUAGAAAUGGCUGUAUUUUAAGGCAGUUACCGCAGGACGAUGGAAUUCUUAGGUGGAGAAUAAACUCUUUUGAUUGAGAAAAUUUCCCAGUGGUUUUAAGAUAAGCACCACCGCCCCCCCCCAAGCCCCAACUAUGCCUCGUAAAGUCUGUAGGAGAUAGUGUGGAACAGGGAACAAAGAGAGAGCCAACUUUCUUCCUAGUAGGAAGUAACAAGAACUUGGGUGUUGGAUGCUGGCCACUUGGGUAGGGUGGUGGGAAAAAGAUAAGACAGGAGAAGGAUCUCUGUAGAGACUAGAAGACUUGCACUUUGACAGAAUUUAGAACUUAAGGAGAUAAAUGGCUUAUGAGAAACUCCAGACUGUGGUGGUUGUGGAAUAUCAGUAGUAUGAUGUCUAAAAUCUAAUCGUAAGUUUUUUUCCUUUCCCCUUACUCAUACUCAGAGCUAAGUAAAAGGGGGCUAUAUGCAGGGGCCGUAGAUGGACCAAGAGAAGGCUUGUGUAGAGGUUCUUUGGGAAAGGUCAGGGAAAGGACAGGGGAAACAGAGUGAAACAAGGAUGGCCAUUGGGGGAGAUGAGUCAGGAGGAGAAAUUUGGAACAAAUAGUAAUCAGAAAACAAGUUCCUCGGAAAUCCUUUAACAAUGUGAAGGCCCUGAUAGUCCCUAGCAUAUGGGAUAAGGGCUUGAACUGUUUUCUUUGGGACAUUAAAAGAAAUUUAACCCCAGGAGGCUGGAAGACUAGGAAAAACAAAUUAUAAAUGUAAAUUUUGCUUUCAUGUAUUGAGUUUUCAACAUUAAAAACUUGCAUCUUGAUGAUAAAGUUCCUAUUUUCCAUUAAUUUAUUUUGGUGCCUCUUUUCUAAAAGAGAUUUUCUGAAUUCUUUGACUUUCAAAAUCCAGGCUGAAUGAAUUAUUUCUCUGCAGUCAGUAUGGGGGCCUUCUUGCCAUUUGUAUGCCAUUCCCUCCGCCCUGAUAUAGUGAGACCCUUUAUGUCUGUGUAUUUAACUCUACAUCCAGCACCUUAUGCUGGGCAGGAAAUGUGUGCUGGGAAGCAGCCUAGGCUAGUGGUAGAGGGCACAGAUGCUGGAACCAAACAGUUCAAGUCCCUUUUGUCUCCUCCACUUAUAAACUAUACAUCUUAGGUAAGUUACUUAAACUUUCUGUGCCUUGAAAUGUCCCCAUUUAAAGGAAGAUCAUAAUAGCACCUACACAGUAUGAGGAUUCUAUGAGUUGCAAAUGUAAAGGACUCAGAAGGAUGUCUGACAUUCAGUAAAUAUUAACUUACUAUCAUCACAAAAUAAAAGUUUUAUGGGAAUAUUUAUUGAGUGGCUAAGAACAGGAUCUAUUGCUGAGUUCCAAGAAUUAUUUUCUGUCUUUAUGGAAACUAAAACUGUGCAUCUAGGUGGAUCCACAAAUAAAUUAUUUUGACUGAGAGAUUCCUGAAGUUGGGAACCACAUCUUCCCUAGGCUGUUAUGACAGGACUCAGUGCUUCUGUGCAAAGGAAGGAGAGUACCACUUUGUGUGCAGAGGAAGGAGAGUACCACUUUGUGAUGGUCAAAGUAGCUUCAGUUUGGUUUUGAUCUUGUGGAGUGUGCAGAGAAAUUACAUUAUUUAUCAUAAUCCAGAUCAUAAGAGAAGUAUGGAGGAGAAUAAUACUGUCCUCAGAUAGUAAGAAAGCCCAUUUUAAAAUACUGUUUCUAUGUUUGUGGGUAGUAUAGCCUAAUAUGCCAAAUUCAAGACAGUCAGAACUUGGGGAAAAAUGGAAUAUAAAGGCAUGACAUUGAAAAAAGAUAUGUCUGGAUUCAAGAUAGAUUUUGGUAUUUACUAAUUCUGAGUCCUUGUGCAUAAUCACCCAUCUAUCUAUCACCUGACUCAGGAUUUAUUUAUUAAUUUAUUUGUUUGUUUUUUUGCUUUUUAGGGCUGCAUAUAGAAAUUCCCAGGCUAGGGGUUGCAUUGGAGCUACAGCGGCACCUACACCACAGUCAUAGCAUCACCAGAUCUGAACCACAUCUGUGAUCUACACCACAGCUCACGGCAACUUCAGAUCCCUGACCCAAUGAGCGAGGCCAAGAUCAAAUUCGCAUCCACAUGGAUCCUAGUCAGAUUCAUUUCUGCUGUGCCACAAAGGGAACUCCCUGAUUCAGAAAUGAUUUAGAAGCAACUUACAAACUGAUAUUUAAAAGACGUAGUCAAGGUCAAAGACAAAGGAUAAAAUUGGAAAAAGUAGUUGGGUCAUAUAUGACAUAAAAAUAGCUCUUAUCAUUGACAAUUGACAUUCUGACAAAUUGGAGUUCCCGUUGUAGCGCAGAGGAAAUGAAUCUGACUAGCAACCAUAAGGUUGAAGAUUUGAUCCCAGGCCUUGCUCAGUGGGUUAAGAAUCCAGUGUUGCUGUGAGCUGUGGUGUAGUUUGCAGAUAUGGCAGGGACCUGGCCUUGCUGUGGCUGUGGUGUAGACCUGCAGUUAUAGCUCCAAUUAGACCCCUAGCCUGGGAACCUCCAUAUNCUGACAAAUUAGUAAGAGAAUGAACAACCCAAAGGGAAUAGACAAAGGACAUGAAUAAUCAAUAAAGGAAGAAAUAACAUGUGAAAUGAUAUCUAAUCUCAAGAAUAGUCAAAGAAAUAGAAACUAAGGCAAAAGUGAAAUUUGAAAUUUUCUUUAUUAAAUUGGUACUGAUUUUAUUUACUUUUUUAAGAGUAAGCUAUUUCAUUUUUCUUUAUGUAUAUAUAAUAUAUAUAAUUAUUAAAGUGUAGUUGAUAUACAGUGUUGUACCAGUUUCUGCUGUACUGUGUAGUGACACACACACACACACACACACAUACACAUUAUCUUUUCUCAUAUUAUCUUCCAUCAUGGUCUGUCUAUCCCAAGAGAUUGUAUAUAGUUCCCUGUGUUGUACAGAGGACCUCAUUGCUUAUCCAUUCUAAAGGUAAUAACUUUGCACCUAUCAACCCCAGACUCCAUAUCCAUCCCACUCCCUCCCCUCUCCCGCUUUACAACCACAAGUCUGUUCCCUAUGUUUGUCUGUUUGUGUUUUGUAGAUAGGUCCAUUUGUGUCAUGCUUUUUACUAUGCUAUACACUGGGUGAGGGCCCAGAAAAUAACUAUACAAGGGUGCUUGUAAGAAAAUCAUAAAUAAAAAGGUCAUAAGCCAUCUACCUGAAUAAAUUCUGCAUCCAAUUUGGCCAACAUUUUUGAAUACUUCUUGGGUACGGAGAAUAGGUCAUCCACUGUGCUCUGGGUGCCUACCAUCGCUGCAGGAGACCCACACACAGGACCCAACCACCCAUAUGAGGCAGAAUAAAACAAGUGCUAUGAAAACAGAAGAAAUAAAAAAUUCUCACUGACUCAGAAAUCUGAGUAAACCUCUAUCUUAAGUGCUUAAUUCUUCGGUCACCACUCAUGCGCUUUGUCACAGUGGACGUGUGACAAAGGGAGGUUUGGAUGUCAGUCUUCCAUCUGUACAUAUAAGCCCCAUUCCCCCCAAAAUUGCAUGAGAUAGGCUGCAUUGUCUCUUGGUGCCGUGUCUGGAGCCAGCUCGUGGUAGAGUCUAGACAAGAGGCCCUCCUUUGAGAACCGCUUGGACUCAGGGCGCCCACAUCCCUCUGAGUGGUGUUCAAAGCUGGAUAAUGAAGGUAUAUACAGCCUGCCAGUCCAAGGGUCCCCAUCAACCAGUGUGGUAAAGGGCUCUUCCUCUGACCCCUCCUCUAUGUCUAUGUGCCCUGGUGGCAGGUGCUCCAAGUCUCUGAGCUGAGGGGUGUAUGAAUGCAGCUGUGUUUGUGGAUCCAAGUUGGCCAAAGGUGCCUGUUGCUCAAAUAACUUUCCUUAUUGGGAUGCCUUCUCCUGUGGAUUGGACUCCUGAUCUCCAGGCCCCAUGGAAAUGUCAUUAGUUCUCACAUCGUAUUCAUAUCUGGGGGCAUUGUUCUGCUGGGUGGCGCCUGCUGCGUUAGUUAGGGAAGUCUCUCUGGUGCUUUUCUCAGAGUCACACAUGAUGUCCAUCAAAUAUGAAGCAUACCCCACGUGUCUCACCUCCAUUUCUUCCCAGGGGGACUCCUGGUCCUCACUGGGCUCAUUCAGGUCCCACACAUCAUCGGUGUUUUCUAUCAUGCUUGUAUCCUUCUGCGAAGAUUUAGACUCCUCAAAAAUAUUGAGGGUGGUAAAGUUCAUCACAAUUUUUUCAGCAAGUACAAAGAAUCUUCUGUCAAAUUCACUUCCAUAAAUCAAAAUCAAAUUUGCUGGGUGUUUCUCUUUGCCAACAUGGGUAUAUCUGUACAUGAAAAAGCCUGUCCACAGAAAAAAUAAACAUGGUAACAGAUAUGGGCAAAACAUACCAGAUUUUAGCCUUCAACUCUGAUGUUUGAUCUUUCAAAAUGCUGACACACUGCUUUUCAGAAGGCUGAGUGAGGCGAGGAGGGGCUGGGACCAAGGACUCUGCAAGAACGCAAUGCACAGUGUCUGGCUCCAGCCAGCUGAGCACCAGCGUGUGGUUAGUCACACACUGGGACCACGUUCAAGUAUAGGCACUGAUUUUUUAAAAAUGAGGAAAACUAAUGACAUUCCCAGCUAACAAGAAGAAACAGAAAAACAAGCAGUCUUCUAAACUGCUUGUGCAAAUAAAAAUUAUUGCAACUUUAUUGGGAGAUGAUUUGGCAACAUUUAUCAAAUAUCUUAAAAAUGUGCAUGCCAUUUGAACCCAGAAUUCCACUCCUAGGAAUUUCUUCUAGAGAGAUAACAGGACUAAUACACAAAGCAAAUCACACUAAAAUGUUCCCUGCAAAACUAAUUUCCAAAUUAAAAAUUGGAAGUGAUGGGCACUCCCACUGUGGCAAAAUGGAAUUGGCAGAGUCCUGGGAGCACUGGGAUGUGGGUUCCACCCCUGGCUUGGCCCACUGGGUUAAGAAUCUGGUGUUGCUGUUGCCACAGCUGCGGCUUACUUCACGCUGUGCCUCAGAUCUGAUACCUGGCUCUGGAGCUCCAUAUGCCAUGGGGUAACCAAAAAAAAAAAAA
rnacentral:lncRNA from 1 species